ACGGGAAAAACCUAUUCAGGCUGCUAUCAAUCACCAUAUAUUCAUUCCUCCAUCUCUCCUCUCACUCAGAGAGAAAGAGAGAGGCAAAUUUCCGUACACACACGCAGAGGGGUUUUUGUGGAGUGGAGUGUGUUUGAUUUUAUCUGAGACUGAAAUGGUGUGAAAUGGUUGGAGAAAAUGGUAAUUCCUAUGCGGAAAGUUUGGGGCAGAGUCUCCAGAAGGUUUGGAUUUCGUAAAACAGGGCUCAUUAAACUCCACAAAGACGUGAGGACAUGUGAGUACGAGGAUGUCCAUAUCUUAUGGGACUUGCUGAAGAGGAACGAGGCAGACCUCGCCAGAAGCAGAAAGGGCCGUUCGUGGAGGUUCCAGUGGGCACAGUGCUCCUCCUUGCUUUGCCGCUGAUCUUAAUUAACCUUGCUCCUGCUUUAAACUUUUGAACAACAGAAAUAUGCAGUGUGUGUGAGCUCUGAAGAUCAUAUCAUUUUGCUGUAGUACUCAGUAUCCUCUUUUCUCUUGUUCAUUGGAGAAUUUGUGAAUAUGUUCAUGUAAAUGUCCUAUGAUGUUUCUCUCCACACUACACAGGUUUCUCUUUUCAGGUUUUUUUUUUAAUGUAGAAAGGAUACUGGAGAUAGCUAAUGUAUGAUGUUAUGGUGGCUCUCCAACUGUAUGUUUGUUGGAAUCAAAAAACCCUUCCCAUUCUUUGGAUGUUGCAUUAAA